AUGGCGAUGAGAUGCGCGCUGACCUCGCUCCCCGCGCGCCUCCGGUCCCCGGCGGUGGUAGCCAGCGGGACGCGGCGCCUUCUGAGUGACGGGAAGGGGCGCGUGCUCAGCGAGGAGGAGCGCGCCAAGGAGAACGUCUACAUCCAGAAGAUGGAGAGGGAGAGGCAGGAGAAGCUCAAGAAAAAGCUCGAACAGGAGAAGGAUGCGGCCGACAAGGCUAAGUCCGGCGCCGACGGCAAGGUAUACGACACUGCCCUCUAG
rnacentral:rRNA from 1 species